rnacentral:snRNA from 1 species
GUCCCUUUGGGGAAAUUUGAUAAAAUUAUAAUGAAAUAUUAGCGUGGCCUACGUGCAAGGAUGACACGCACAAAUGAAUGGUACAUCCAAAUUUU